rnacentral:lncRNA from 1 species
CGAGAGGCAAAGCAACGAGGAGAGGGAGAAAGAAGAGAGCAACAAGGAUCGAGGGAUGAUCGAGGUGGAAUCGGGCAAAAACGCAGGAAAAGGGGGGAAAAAAUUGCCAGACUCAUCCGACCUCUGCUGUGUGGGGACCGGACCCAUCACCUGACUGCCCUCUCCUGUCUUCCUGGUCUUCAGCAGAACAGCCAUGAGGUAGAGUUGGACAUUUUGGAAAAUUGCAUCCAGUGACUUCUCGCUAAGAUGGAUGCAAAGGCUUCUCUCUUCACCCUUCCACAUCCUCCUUUAACCCUACACGACCAUCAUGUCCUGUGUCCCCAUCUCACCCAGUGAGUGAGAGCACAGCUCCUGUCCUUCAUUUGAACCACUGUCAGACUAACAAAGACAAAAUCUACCUGUAAUUGCUAGUGAAGACAGGGAGACAGUGGCUCAACCAGUAGGAGUUAGAAGAGAGAAAAGGGAGAAUUGCUCUUUAAGUCCUCGUAAGCAGAUGUAGCCAUUCUUGGCCCGUAGCUGGUUGCCCCUGCAACAUAGAGUUGUUAAAUUGCAGAGCAGUCCCACACAAUCAGGCUGGAGAUUGUCAAGUGUUACAUAGUG